UGAUCCUUUAACGACAGUCCCGUGAGACUGAGAAGGAAAACGGUAAACAGUGUGAGCACUGUUUUGUUUCCUCUCGUCUCCGGCGAGAGGAUUUUUUUGU
rfam:Fictibacillus macauensis ZFHKF-1 Contig27, whole genome shotgun sequence.